UUUCCGUAGGUGAACCUGCGGAAGGAUCAUUGUUGUAUAACCGAGGUGCGAGGGCUGUCGCUGACCCGAAAGGUCGUGCACGCCCGAGUGCCCUCACACACAUCCAUUUCACCCCUAUGUUAACCACCGCGUGGGUCACCCUUUGGCUUGUUCGGCGGGGGGCUUACGUUUUCACACAAACUUUGUAUGCAGUGUAGAAUGUAUUUUUUGUUUUUGCGAUCACGCAAUCAAUACAACUUUCAACAACGGAUCUCUUGGCUCUC
rnacentral:misc_RNA from 1 species